rnacentral:rRNA from 1 species
UACGGGGGGGGCAAGCGUUGUUCGGAAUUACUGGGCGUAAAGGGCUCGUAGGCGGCCAACUAAGUCAGACGUGAAAUCCCUCGGCUUAACCGGGGAACUGCGUCUGAUACUGGAUGGCUUGAGGUUGGGAGAGGGAUGCGGAAUUCCAGGUGUAGCGGUGAAAUGCGUAGAUAUCUGGAGGAACACCGGUGGCGAAGGCGGCAUCCUGGACCAAUUCUGACGCUGAGGAGCGAAAGCGUGGGGAGCAAACAGG